GGGGAGUGGUUUGUGGAGGUCAUAAGGGAACUUUAAUUAUGGAGAAGUUAGGGAGUAAAAGGCACUACUUCUUGCCCUUACCAGGGUUAAACUCAAUGAGACCAAAGAUCGACCCCUUUGAAGCGUCAAUGUUAUGGGCAUUUUCACUGUUAGAUCCUUCCACAACCAUGUGAAAAAAGGGAGGUCACAAGUAGAGACUUUCCGUCUAUACAAAAUUGGAAGGUUAAUACAUCACCCAGAAUUGCCUUUUUUGCAUGAGAGGCAGUUAGAAGUUGCAUCUUUACUCUGGACAAGUUGAUUAGGAAGUAAAAGAUUCUAGUGAAUGGUUGUUACUUGUGCAAAAAGGAUGCGGAAUCGUGCAACUAUAUCUUUUGGUGCCCCUUCGCCUACAUAUUUUAGACCUUGGUUAUGGCAUCUUGGGCAUUAAUUGGUGAUGGGCAACUCAGUAAAUGAGGAAAUUUAGGGGUGGAAAGGAAUCAGUGGUUGGGAAGAAACACAUACGCCUUAUCCUUGGUGCGAAAGGAAAGGAGCAAAAGAGCUUUUGAGGGCAAGGAAGUGGGUUUUGAUACAGUUAAGGAUAGCUAGUUCGUAGACCCUAGGUCUUUUUUGUUAAAAAUCAUCCUCUUUACUUUUUUGAGAAUCUACGGGACCUUAUUGACAUUUUGGUCUAUAUGUAAAUGUUUGUAUGUGAGUUUGCAUUCCUUUGGUGCCUGUGAAUGAAUUAUAAUAUACUUUUUAUUUUUAAAAAAAAGAUAAAAU
rnacentral:lncRNA from 1 species